rnacentral:sRNA from 1 species
CCAUCAUCACCAUCACCCAGACUAGUCUUUCGGGCGAUGUGUGCUGGAAGACGGUUUAAAAUCUUCCAGUGGCGCGUAGAACCAAACAAACGCAAGAGAAAGCCCUCGGAAGAUACCUUCCGAGGGUUUUUUUUG